rnacentral:rRNA from 1 species
GACGAACGCUGGCGGCGUGCUUAACACAUGCAAGUCGAACGGGCUCUGUCUGGCUGUGUGCUUGGUGGGGUUAGUGGCGAACGGGUGAGUAAUACGUGAGUAACCUGCCCUCUUCUUUGGGAUAAGCCUUGGAAACGGGGUCUAAUACUGGAUAUUCCUGUCUGGUCGCAUGGCUGGGUGGGGAAAGUUUUUUUCGGUGGAGGAUGGGCUCGCGGCCUAUCAGCUUGUUGGUGGGGUGAUGGCCUACCAAGGCGUCGACGGGUAGCCGGCCUGCGAGGGUGGCCUGCCAGAGUGGGACGGAGAUACGGCCCAGAGUCCUACGGGAGGCAGCAGUGGGGGAUAUUGCACAAGGGGCGCAAGCCUGAGGCAGCGACGCCGCGUGGGGGAUGACGGCUUGCGGGUAGUAAACCUCUUUCGUCGGGCGACAAGGCUCUGCUUGGUGGUGGGGUUGAGGGUACCCGGUGAAGAAGCGCCGGCUAACUACGUG